rnacentral:tRNA from 1 species
GGAGAGAUGUCCGAGUGGCUUAAGGAGCACGACUGGAAAUCGUGUACCCCGACUAAAAUCGGGGUCGUGGGUUCGAAUCCCACUCUCUCCGCCA